UCGAACGGCAGCGCGGACUUCGGUCUGGCGGCGAGUGGCGAACGGGUGAGUAAUGUAUCGGAACGUGCCCAGUAGCGGGGGAUAACUACGCGAAAGCGUAGCUAAUACCGCAUACGCCCUAUGGGGGAAAGAGGGGGAUCGCAAGACCUCUCACUAUUGGAGCGGCCGAUAUCGGAUUAGCUAGUUGGUGGGGUAAAGGCCCACCAAGGCGACGAUCCGUAGCUGGUUUGAGAGGACGACCAGCCACACUGGGACUGAGACACGGCCCAGACUCCUACGGGAGGCAGCAGUGGGGAAUUUUGGACAAUGGGGGCAACCCUGAUCCAGCCAUCCCGCGUGUGCGAUGAAGGCCUUCGGGUUGUAAAGCACUUUUGGCAGGGAAGAAACGCUUCCCCCUAAUACGGGGAGGAACUGACGGUACCUGCAGAAUAAGCACCGGCUAACUACGUGCCAGCAGCCGCGGUAAUACGUAGGGUGCAAGCGUUAAUCGGAAUUACUGGGCGUAAAGCGUGCGCAGGCGGCUCGGAAAGAAAGAUGUGAAAUCCCAGGGCUUAACCUUGGAAUGGCA
rnacentral:rRNA from 1 species